rnacentral:tRNA from 1 species
GGCCCCGUCGUCUAGCGGCCUAGGACGUCGCCCUCUCACGGCGAAGAUCGAGAGUUCGAAUCUCUUCGGGGCUGCCA